rnacentral:sRNA from 1 species
CCGAGAAUUGGUGUUGGAGAAAUAACGUGUACAAGAAUUGUACCAGACAGGUAGACAGAUCGAGUUGUACCAGACAGGUAGACAGAUCGAGUUGUACCAGACAAGUAGACAGAUCGAGUUGAUAUACGCUUUGUAAAAUAGCAUUUUUUUUAAACAGGUGUCUAGGAACUAUCCCGUGUAGUAGCCUACUACACAGAAAAUAAAAAUAUGUUUUGAAUUAGAAUUGAAGCUGACCCUUUUGUUUAUAAUUCCAUACGGUUGAUUGCACUACUUGUAGUUUAUUGUCAUGGACCCGUGUGUGUCCAAUAUGGUCAUCUCUGCUGAUUUUGAAUUAAUGAAGCCUUUUGUUUUGUCUAAAAGGUUUCAACUUUUAGAAUAAUUUGUUGUAACCUUUUUAAAUAAAAAAACAAGACUAAUUAUAAAACAUAUUUUAUCCCCAGUUACUACAUAAAAAAUACUUCUAAACAAUAUCCGAAUGUCUUUAUUUAAGAAUUCUUUAUCUUAUCUCGUUCUGGCUAGAAAUGUUUGACUUUGACAUGAAUAUGUUAAUAUGUUAAGUAACGACGUGAAAAAAAAGGUGUAGGCCUACUUUAAUAAGGCAUGUCCCAAGUGAUAAAGUUAGAUAACUGACAUCGUCUAAUACUUGAGCUUUUUUUUUUUGGGGGGGGGGGCUAUUUGUAAAGAGUUCA